GGUUCAUGCUCCCAGAUUAAGGAUCUCUGUCCUUAAUGUGUUUAACUAUGAAACUCAAAAACAACACUACUAGUCGAACAAUACCCUAGACCUGGUUUGGUUGUGUGAGUGUAGCCUGUUGAAAUCCCUGCUUAGAUUAUACUAAGUGGAUCUUCAGUAUAUGAAGGCACAGGUGCGAGUCUAUUGGACACAUGCUCACCAUGUGCAGGAACACAGACCUGACACCGCGUAAAGAACUUGAAGUAUCUCAAAUGCCAUGAUUGAUGUCUACUCAAAAAGUCUGAAAAGAAUGCUGUAGGUUCCCAUUCUGGUGCAGAACACAGAUGUGACCAUUGGGAAUCGCACAGCAGACCCCAGAAAAAAAUGGUAAAAUGUGUCCAGUCAUCAAAAUGCAUCUUCAAGGAUCUAUACUUUUUCCUGUAGCAAUGAACUCUCUCUCCCCUAAGUUCUCAGCACCCAGGUAGGCAGCAACCUCCUACAUAAAACUGCAUUCAGGAAACAAAAACAAACUUUGAAGUGAAUGUAACUCACUCUGUAACUACAAAGGUUUUAUUCUGGAGUUGAACUGGAGGGAUUUGGUGCCAGUUCAAAGGAUUCCAAGGAUAAAACAGUAAGAGAGGACUUUAUGAUUAGUGUUGUCUCUCGUUGCCACGCAGGCAAUCAUCUCUUCUGUGAAGAGUUUUACCCCCAUCUAGAAAGGGGCAGUUGAACAGGCCAUUCCCAUCAGGGUGUUCUGAGAUGGUACUUGACUCAGCUUCCAGCCCCCUCCAUAAGCAGAUGUUUGCACCAAUCUGAUCUGACCAUCACAGCUCCAGGAGCCAAUGGUAUCAUCUUAACAAGUUAGCCCUGGGCAUCCCGAGAGUCCUAAAACUGUCAGUUUCAUCGGUAUUGUUUCUAUUCAAUUCUGGUUCUACUCAUGUCCUUAUUUAAUCAUUUCCAUACCAAUUUAACACACGCUGGUUAACUUCUCAUCUUAGGCUCAGGAGAUGGCCCCAUGUUCACUGCUCCAAACAGAGUAGCAAAGGCCUGUGUGCUCUUAGACUUACAUAAACUCACCUCGGAAACCCGGAAACGCAUACCUCAGCUAAGAGUGCUUGAAUUGGGGGCCUGGCUCUGAUCCUAAUUCCAGUUGCCUACCAAUGCCCUAGAAGG